rnacentral:rRNA from 1 species
GCAGUCGACGGUAGCACAGAGGAGCUUGCUCCUUGGGUGACGAGUGGCGGACGGGUGAGUAAUGUCUGGGAAACUGCCCGAUGGAGGGGGAUAACUACUGGAAACGGUAGCUAAUACCGCAUAACGUCGCAAGACCAAAGAGGGGGACCUUCGGGCCUCUUGCCAUCGGAUGUGCCCAGAUGGGAUUAGCUAGUAGGUGGGGUAACGGCUCACCUAGGCGACGAUCCCUAGCUGGUCUGAGAGGAUGACCAGCCACACUGGAACUGAGACACGGUCCAGACUCCUACGGGAGGCAGCAGUGGGGAAUAUUGCACAAUGGGCGCAAGCCUGAUGCAGCCAUGCCGCGUGUAUGAAGAAGGCCUUCGGGUUGUAAAGUACUUUCAGCGAGGAGGAAGGCGUUGUGGUUAAUAACCGCAGCGAUUGACGUUACUCGCAGAAGAAGCACCGGCUAACUCCGUGCCAGCAGCCGCGGUAAUACGGAGGGUGCAAGCGUUAAUCGGAAUUACUGGGCGUAAAGCGCACGCAGGCGGUCUGUCAAGUCGGAUGUGAAAUCCCCGGGCUCAACCUGGGAACUGCAUCCGAAACUGGCAGGCUAGAGUCUUGUAGAGGGGGGUAGAAUUCCAGGUGUAGCGGUGAAAUGCGUAGAGAUCUGGGGGAAUACCGGUGGCGAAGGCGGCCCCCUGGACAAAGACUGACGCUC